AGCAGGGUUGGGAAUGGGGAUGGAGGUGGGGAGGCUUCAGGAUGCAGGAAUGGGCUGUGAUUGUUCUCAGAGCUCAGGAAUUCAGGUGACUGAGGGUCUUCUGCAGACAGGAGUCAGAUCCAUCAGUCCUGAUUAGUGCAAAUUUUCCUGAAGCUUUUGGGCAUAAUCUGGUAAGCAAUUCAGCAGAUAAACAAGGACAGCUGCCUACAAGUCAACCAUGGUGCACCUCAGCUGACAGUGAGGGAUGCCGUUUCAGAAGACUGACUGUGCUUGAGAUUUUUAUAAAUAAGGACCCCUUUCCUCACUUCAAACUCCCAAAAAUGUCUGAGUUGUGGAAAUGGUUGGAAGUUGAGUCCGUCAGCUGGCAGAGGCCUGGAAGACACCAGCCCUCUCACCAGACCCUAUGCAGAGUUGUGGUUUUCCAGGAAGCAUUAGGGGCCAAGAGCACAGAGCUGUGGCAUGAAGGGAUCCAGGAAAAGGUGGAAGAAACAGCCAGGCAAGAAAGUACAAGUUCAUGUCAGCACUCCAGCGCCCUGCUCACUCCUGCUCAAGUGAGCUGACCUGCUACUGCCAGAAUGUUGCCUGGCUCCCUGAGUCACACAGAACAUCUGAAGAGGCAGUGUGGCAAAGGAAGCCUGGCCAUAAAGGGAGUAGUUUUGUUCCACCACACACCUCUGCCAUGCUAUGCUGCCUCCCCACAGGCC
rnacentral:lncRNA from 1 species